GGAUUGUGGCUCAGUGGUAGAGCAGUCACCUAGCAUGCACAAAGCCCUGGGUUCAAUACUCAGCACCA
rnacentral:tRNA from 1 species